UUUGAACAUCCUGUUUAAUUUUUAAAAUUUUGUGUAUAUCAAAGUUCACUCCUUGUUGAUGUAUGGUUCUAUGGGUUUUGGCAAAUGCAUGAGUUAUGUAUUUAUCACUCCAGUACCAAAUAUAAUAGUUUCAUCAUCCUAUCAUUACCCUGUGGAUGACUCCCAAUGUAUUCUGCAUAUAUUGAUAUAAUCAUAUGGUUUUUGUUUUUGGUUCUGUUUAUGUGAUAAAUUACACUUACUGAUUUGCAUAUGUUGAACUAACCUUGCAUCCCAGGGGUAAAGCCUACUUGAUAGUGGUGGAUUACCUUUUUGAUGUGCUGCUGGAUUAGAUUUGCUAGCAUUUUGUUUGUUUGUUUUUUGAGAUGGAGUUUCGCUCUUGUUGCCCAGGCUGGAGUGCAAUGGCCUGAUCUCGGCUGAUUGCAACCUCCGCCUCUCGGAUUCAAGCGAUUCUCCUGUCUCAGGCUCCUGAGUAGGUGGGAUUACAGGCACGUGCCACCACGCCUGGCUAAUUUUUGUAUUUUUAGUAGAGACAGGGUUUCAUCAUAUUGGUCAGGCUGGUCUAAAACUCCUGACCUCACGUGAUCCGCCCUCCUCGGCCGCCCAAAGUACUGGGAUUACAGGUGUGAGCCACCAAGCCCAGCCAAGUAUUUUGUUAAGAAUUUUUCCAUCUAUGUUUUUUUUAAGGAUAUUGACCUGAAGUUUUCUUUUUUUGUUUUGUCUCUGCCAUGUUUUUGUAUCAGGAUGAUCCUGACCUCAUAGAAUGAGGUAGGGAGGAGUCCCUCUUCAGUUUUUUGGAUAGUUUCAGCAGGAAUGAUACCAGCUCUUCUUUAUACAUCUGGUAGAAUUCAGCUGUGAAUCCUUCUGAUCCUGGGCUUUAUCUGGUUGAUAGGCUUUUUAUUACCAAUUCAAUUUUGUAACUUGUUAUUGGUAUGUUCAGAUUUUUAAUUUCUUCCUGGUUCAAUCGUGGGAGAUUG
rnacentral:lncRNA from 10 species